rnacentral:rRNA from 1 species
GACGAACGCUGGCGGCGUGCCUAAUACAUGCAAGUCGAACGCAGUGGGGACGGGUGAGUAACACGUGGGUAACCUCCCAUCAGAGGGGAUAACACUUGGAAACAGGUGCUAAACCGAUACUGAUGGAUGGACCCGCGGUGCAUUGGCUAGUUGGUGAGGUAACGGCUCACCAAGGCCACGAUGCAUAGCCGACCUGGGAGGGUGAUCGACCACACUGGAACGUGGGCACGGCCAAGUCUCCUACGGGAGGCAGCGUUAGGAAAUCUUCGGUAAUGGACGAAAGUCUGACCGAGUGACGCCGCGUGAGUGACGCAGGUUUUCGGAUCGUAAUACUCUGUUGUUAGAGAAGCGGUAUCUAACCAGAAAGCCACGGCUAACUACGUGCCAGCCGCCGCGGUAAUAC